rnacentral:rRNA from 1 species
UCCAGAGGUCCCGAGCUUUGUUCGGAUUCAUUGGGCGUAAAGGGUGCGUAGGCGGCGGGGCAAGUCUGAUGUGAAAUCCCGGGGCUCAACCCCGGAACUGCAUUGGAUACUGCCUUGCUCGAGUACUGGAGAGGGAACUGGAAUUUACGGUGUAGCAGUGAAAUGCGUAGAGAUCGUAAGGAAGGCCAGUGGCGAAGGCGAGUUCCUGGACAGUUACUGACGCUGAGGCACGAAGGCCAGGGGAGCAAACGGG